CAGCAGCCGCGGUAAUACGAAGGGUGCAAGCGUUAAUCGGAAUUACUGGGCGUAAAGCGCACGUAGGCGGCUUGGUAAGUUAGAGGUGAAAGCCUGGAGCUCAACUCCAGAAUUGCCUUUAAGACUGCCGAGCUAGCAGGUGAGAGAGGUAAGUGGAAUUCCGAGUGUAGAGGUGAAAUUCGUAGAUAUUCGGAAGAACACCAGUGGCGAAGGCGGCUUACUGGCUCAUACUGGACGCUGAGGUGCGAAAGCGUGGGGAGCAAACAGGAUUAGAUACCCGCGUAGUCCCUGUCUCUUAUAC
rnacentral:rRNA from 1 species